AUAUCUCUCCGUACGGGAAGGAUGAGAAGCUUCGACUAAGGUUCGAUUCGAGCGAAAGCGAGAAAGCGUUGCCGCAGGCAA
rnacentral:sRNA from 1 species